GCUGUGGCUAUAAGGUAGCGAACGGAAGCAGUUGUUUACAUACUUUCGCGGUGUUUUAUCCGAUUUCGCGGUGUCUCUUUUAUCCGACAUUACAGUGUAAUUACGCUAUACUGGACUCUGCAAAAAUUAUAGCAAGUAGUCGUGACUACAGUCGAACAUAUAACACAAUAUGCCAGAAAAAUGUUGUGUUCGUGGUUGCAACAGCAACUACAAAUCCAGCAAGGAAGAGGGUUACAUCGCAGUGUUCAGAUUCUGAAGCGGAAAACAGAAAACGAUGGACAAGAAAUAUCCCCAGAAAGGACUCGACUCCAUCAAAUAGAAGUGUUGUUUGCAUUAAACAUUUUGAAGAAUGUGGUGUAUCAAGAGUGGAGAUUUACAAGGACUCUGAUGGGAACUGUCACGAGUUUCCUCGUCAAAGGCCAUUGCUCUAACCAGAAGCUGUGCCAUAAAUAUUCCCUGGGUUACCAUCGUAUUUAAGUAAGGUGCAGCCUCCAAGAAGGUGUGACCCAGAAAUAAGAAGGAAGCGUGCACACCACAAAGAGAAGGAGAAGAAUGAAGCCAUGCUAAAUGAGGACAUUCUUGCAAAUUUUCAGUGUUCGUGUGCUGAGUACCAGGAUAGAAUAAGCAGUGUAGGAAAGUGGAGUGUUAGUGUUAAAGAGAAUAAGAUAUUCUUUUAUACUAUAGAUUUUUCUAAAGACAUUCCUCAGGUCAA